rfam:Stegodyphus mimosarum contig128153, whole genome shotgun sequence.
GCGCAGGCUUUGUCUGGUGGUUACUUCGUUUUCAAUUAGUAUCUUCAAGCGACACCACAGACGCAAUCUUGCGUUAUG